UAGUCUACGCCGUAAACGAUGGAUACUAGCUGUUGGACUUCGGUUCAGUGGCUAAGCGAAAGUGAUAAGUAUCCCACCUGGGGAGUACGUUCGCAAGAAUGAAACUCAAAGGAAUUGACGGGGGCCCGCACAAGCGGUGGAGCAUGUGGUUUAAUUCGAUGAUACGCGAGGAACCUUACCAGGGCUUAAAUGUAGAUUGACAGGUUUAGAGAUAGACUUUUCUUCGGACAAUUUACAAGGUGCUGCAUGGUUGUCGUCAGCUCGUGCCGUGAGGUGUCAGGUUAAGUCCUAUAACGAGCGCAACCCCUCCGUUAGUUGCCAGCAUGUAAAGAUGGGGACUCUAACGGGACUGCCGGUGCAAACCGUGAGGAAGGUGGGGAUGACGUCAAAUCAUCACGGCCCUUACGUCCUGGGGCCACACACGUGCUACAAUGGCCGGUACAGAGAGCAGCCAUCCGGGUAACGGGAGCGCGAA
rnacentral:rRNA from 1 species